CUCUGAGGGCUGGGCUCG
rnacentral:snRNA from 1 species